GACCAAUUGGCCUAGUGGUUAUGGCGUCUGUCUUACACACAGAAGGUCGCAGGUUCGAUCCCUGCAUUGGUCA